rnacentral:lncRNA from 1 species
AGAUACAAAAAACUCACUAUAACAAUAAGGUGAUUACAAAAGUUUUCCAAAUUAGUUACACAAUAAGUGUCAAACACAGAGCAACAAUAACAACAAAAGCAACAGCAAAUCGAUUGAAAAAAGAGGAAAAACCACAAAAAUAGAGCUAUUGUUCGGGGCUCAAAAUUGGAUGAUAUAAGCCUCUAAAUCCGAUCUUCACCGUUCAAAUCAAAUACCAAAAUGUUUUGAGCACUCAGUCAAGAUUUCAGUCUGAUCCAACAAUUAAUGAAUCGAAAAACGUGAUUUGAAAUUAAAUGGCCGGAACAAAAAUCUGCAGCAAAACAAUCCAUUUUUUCUCUCUUCUCUCUUGAUGAAAGCUUUCUCAAAAAUUAUUAUUAUGUGCUAAAUUUUUUUAAAGAUUCUUAUAUUAAUAAGCCUAGAACAAUUCUUCAAGGUAGUCCUAUUUAUAGAAAAUGAGUAGUUUUUCUUCUUAAAGCCAAAAGUAACUCUAAACAGGAAUAAAGACUAAAUCCAAUUUCGAAUAGAAAUGAAAAUCAAAGAGAAUAGGAUUAGGUAAUUGGGCCUUUGGAUGGAAAUCAAAGGCAUAUGUUCAAAAAACUCUCCCUCAAGCCAUGGGGUCAAAUGUUUCUUCAAGUAGAGGAAAUAUUGACAAGCUUCAUGCCUGACAAUAUUUUGC